GGGCAUAUGGUCUAGUGGUAUGAUUUCUGUUUUGCAUACAGACGGUCCCGCGUUCGAUCCGCGGUAUGUCCA
rnacentral:tRNA from 2 species